CAAUGGAGCGUUAACUUUUAUCGCCAUUCUCUGUUAUGCUUCUUUGUAAUUCCCGUCUUUCCUCAUCUCCUCUGUCUAACUGUUUCAUUUACUGCAUUUGUAUCUAAAAUACCAUUCCAUUUCUUCGUCAUUUCCUUUGGGUCCUUUUCUGCAAUUCCUCCUCCCAUGACGGGUUGUAUUUUGGUGGGGUGAUGAGUUUGGCACAAGGAUUCCAAUAUCUCCGACGAUGAUGCCUUUGGUCGACUCUACGCCCGCAUUUUGAUCUCAAUUAGGCUGUUAUUACUCAGAUUCGGGCAUCCUACUUCGAGAAUACCAAACUCAAACGGAAAACCAUCCGGCAACGGAACCUCCUCUCGGAAAUUCCUCGUCGUUAUAUCCAACGUAAUGCUUUCGGGAUCCCCUGAUUUCAGAUUCCGAACUAACCAAUAAAGAGCGUCGUUCGAGAUCGAAAAUCUUCCUCUAUCGGUUGUGUUGGAGAUCCCCUGAUUUCAUAUUCCGGCUCCAGCUGAGCAAAUUGAGUUCAGUGGUGGUGAGCUUUAUUUGGCAGAUCUAAAGAAUGUGAUAUCGAGGAUGAAGAAAUGUACAAUGGUAACAUCCGGAUCAACGAGUGGGGAUGAUAAUCAGGCUAUGGGAAUUUGUGCUGGAACUCUGAUUGGCUAUUCUCUGGCGCAACAUUUGGAGAAGAUUUCUAAAUCUUGAAGAGAAGGGGAGGAAAAAUGCCAAAGUUCAAGACCUCUCUUUGAAUGACUACGUCUUCAUCCUCAAUCGCCUUAUCCAUAUGCCUGAAGAUGUAGAAAUGCUUGCUCAGAAUGGGAUUAUCAAAUCAAAGUUACCAGGUAAUCAAGUGGUGGCUUUUGUCAUCAACAAGCUCUCUCCAGGAAUAACUCUGAUCAGAUUCAAUUUCCACUUCUCAUUUGUGCAAGGAGCUGAAUGAUUACUAGAGCCCCUUGGCGUAAGAGGAUAGCCAAGCAGAGUUAGAGCGUAAAACCAAUCAAUUGACAAUUCAAAUAGAUACUUGAAGCAGAAACUGAAAAUAAAUAAAUUCUGCAUUAUAGUCUGCAUGGAUGCAUUACUCUUAAAAAAGUUUCAGGCUGCCGCGUCUGUUGUAGUGUUGAACUCUUUCUUCUUUUUUUCUUUUUCUUUGUUUUUUUUUUAGUAGACGCCUGAAAUAUCCUUCAGGAGAGACUAUCUCUAAUUUCCCUUAGGAUUGACAAAGAGUAAAUCCCGCCCAAUUAGGUAG